rnacentral:rRNA from 1 species
GAUGAACGGUGGCGGCGUGCCUAAUACAUGCAAGUCGAGCGAAUGGAUUAAGAGCUUGCUCUUAUGAAGUUAGCGGCGGACGGGUGAGUAACACGUGGGUAACCUGCCCAUAAGACUGGGAUAACUCCGGGAAACCGGGGCUAAUACCGGAUAACAUUUUGAACCGCAUGGUUCGAAAUUGAAAGGCGGCUUCGGCUGUCACUUAUGGAUGGACCCGCGUCGCAUUAGCUAGUUGGGGAGGUAACGGCUAACCAAGGCAACGAUGCGUAGCCGACCUGAGAGGGUGAUCGGCCACACUGGGACUGAGACACGGUCCAGACUCCUACGGGAGGCAGCAGUAGGGAAUCUUCCGCAAUGAACGAAAGUCUGACGGAGCAACGCCGCGUGAGUGAUGAAGGCUUUCGGGUCGUAAAACUCUGUUGUUAGGGAAGAACAAGUGCUAGUUGAAUAAGCUGGCACCUUGACGGUACCUAACCAGAAAGCCACGGCUAACUACGUGCCAGCCGCCGCAGUAA